AAAAAUUAUAGUAUGUUGCUUUUUAUAAUUUUUUUAUUUUAGGGUUACAUAAGUAGAAAAAAAACCCUCAUGCUUUCGAUUUGACAAGUCGAUCCACUAGAAUAAAUCUUAGCUGUAUACUACAUGAUUAAAGGAUAUUGUACGGAUCAUCUAAGAGUUCUGACAUAAAAUAUUGCCUUAAUGUGUGAGUAGAAAUAUUUUAGUAAAAAUGUUUGCUAUUAGAUAGGAUAGAUAGUAGAUAGAACUGUUAUUAAAUGUUGAUGCAAUGUUGAUUGUUUGGAUCAAUAGACCUAAAUGUCAGUCUGGUUGAUACUUUUUUUGUAUGUACAACUUAAAUUUGAGACUACUUGACUCUGUGUAGGCAAACAACAUAAAGAUCACAAAUGGUAAAAUGAAAGACUCAGAACUAAAAAUGGAUAAUAGUAUCUAAUUUUUGGUACUGUUGAUGCUUUUUUAUAAGUAAAACAGCAGCAUAUUUAAAAAAUUUUUACUUUUGAUAAACUUUUUGCAUUUUUCUUAGAAAUAUAAUUAAUUUUUCCAAAAGGUAACUCUUCUCCUUUGCUCUCUUUUUAAUAAUGCUUCAUAAAAAAGGCUAUUAUUAAGAUUUUAUAGGUGACAGCUUCUGAAAUGACAUUGCAUAUAAAAAAUUUUUUUUUCUCUUUUUCUUGUUUCACUUGAUAGAUCUUUGAAACAGCCGUACUGAAAUGUAACUUUUUUUUUCUUCCUCCAAUGCCCACCUGAGGAAUGACAUUUCGUCAUACAGUUAUCUGAACGGCAGAUUUGUUGGCCUCUCUUACAUGGGCACCAUAUUAGGUAGGUUAACAUUGCUCCCACUGUAAGGACAAAUAGUAUAGAUGAAAGAACACCCAAACCUUUGCCCGGGAUUUGAACCCAGAACCUUUUUGAUGCAAGGCCAGUUCCCUGACUCCUACUCUAAAAUAUGACUUAGGGCAUGAAAUUUCUGUUCAGAAAUUACCAGCAGUGGUGAGUUUCUUGAUUUUGAAAAUAAACUAAUAAAGUAAAGUUUGAAUUGAAUGCAGCCUGCAGAAAGUCGAUACUUCUUACAAAAAUUGCUUUCAAGAACAGUUCAUAAAUUUUAUGUGUGACUUAAUCUCUGUCGGUUUAAAUCAUCUCUGUUUUGCAAUCCUGCGACUUGAGUUACUGAUGAAGGUGUACCAACUUAAAAUGGAAACGCAUAUUGGGUUUAGAAAUUUUGCCAUUUGUGAUUUUAAAUGUUGUUUUUAAUGAGAUUUAAUAGAAUAUUAUAUUGAUGUUAUUGUGUUAGAAACUUCUAUUGUUUUUUUUUGUACUUAUAUGUAGUGUUGUGCGUAAAAAAUGUGUUUUACUUAAUUUGAUAAGGUAAGCAAUAUUAUUAGCUUAAUAAAAUCAUUUGCAAUUACCAUUUUUGCAUGCGAAAAAAAUGGAUUUAAUUUGAAUAAAAUAUAUUACGCCAGUAUUCUCCAUUGACCCUUAACCUCAGUCACAGUUCAAAACAGGUUUUAUGAGAGCAACUCCAUGUUAGAUUUCAAAAUUUGAUUUCACCGUGUACGUAACUGCGAGUUACUGCAACCCAGAGUUAACUAACUUUAACCUGAAGAUAUUCCCGGUUUGAGUAACUGCGGAUGCGCAAUAGGCGAUUUUUUAUUUAUUUAUGUUUUCAAAAAUAACACUUUUUAUGUUCGGUUGCUUCUUUCUUAUGUUCAAUGAGGUCAAUUUUUUUACUAGAUGUAACUAUAACUAAUUUAUAUCAAAUAAGUUUUUAUUAAUAAAUUGAAAAUUAAAAGGCGCUUUUGAUAUUUAAUUCGAUAUUCGGAAAUUAGAUAUUCAAUAUUCGGUUUGAUAUUAUGUUCAAUGAGGUCAAUUUUUUUCGCUCAGUUCGCUCGAGUAAAAAAAAAGAAGUGGAUAAUGCAGAUUGUGACCACAAUUAUUCAACUAACUUUUAUUUGUUUUUUUAAAGGGAAAAAAAACAAUCGAUGCUUGAAAGAAAUAUAAAAUUUAAAAAAGAAGAAUACAAUUCAUAAAAUGAUUAUGGAUUUUGAUAAUCUAUCGAGAUGAGAGAUCUUGCCUAAAAAUAAAAAAUAGCUUAGAGAUGAACAGACAAAACAAUGUGCAAUAUUUAGAUAUGAAGGUAACGAAUAGCAUUUUAAUUUUUU